UUUGGUUUUGGGAUGAGAAAUUUAUUAACUUUGUAAACACUUUGCUUUAAUUAUGUAAACUUCACCACUUUUUGGUCUAGAAAAGACUAUAGCAGAAUGGGCCACAUCCCACCUUCAAUCAUAUCCUUACACCGUGCACUUGUCCUUAGAGUUUCUUGACAGACGACUCCUUGAAGUUGGCCCUUGUCCUAAUGAAACUUAUACAGUAAUGGACUACGAUUCUCUAUAUCCAUCAAUUGAACAGGCACCGGCGAACUUGCUCCUAUAUAGAUUCCUCUUGCAAUUCGUCCCAGAUUCUAAUAAUUGCGCGAAAUUACUUAGGGACAUAUGCCAUCUAAUAACUUACAAUUUGUACUUCACAUUCCAUGGCCAGUAUUACAUCCAAAAGAGAGGUGUCCCCCUGGCUGGCGUAAUGGCUGAACUUGUUGUGAG
rnacentral:lncRNA from 1 species